GGAGAGGUGGCAGAGUUGGUUGAAUGCGGCGGAUUGCUAAUCCGUUGUACUGGUACAAACCGGUACCGAGGGUUCGAAUCCCUCCCUCUCCG
rnacentral:tRNA from 1 species